rnacentral:rRNA from 1 species
UUCCCAUACCGAACACAGAAGUUAAGCCCUUGUGCGCCGAUGGUACUUGGCUGGAGACGGCCCGGGAGAGUAGGUCGCUGCCGGAU